GAUGAACGCUGGCGGCGUGCCUAACACAUGCAAGUCGAGCGAAUGGAUUAAGAGCUUGCUCUUAUGAAGUUAGCGGCGGACGGGUGAGUAACACGUGGGUAACCUGCCCAUAAGACUGGGAUAACUCCGAGAAACCGGGGCUAAUACCGGAUAACAUUUUGAACCGCAUGGUUCGAAAUUGAAAGGCGGCUUCGGCUGUCACUUAUGGAUGGACCCGCGUCGCAUUAGCUAGUUGGUGAGGUAACGGCUCACCAAGGCAACGAUGCGUAGCCGACCUGGGAGGGGGAUCGGCCACACUGGGACUGGGACACGGCCCAGACUCCUACGGGAGGCAGCAGUAGGGAAUCUUCCGCAAUGGACGAAAGUCUGACGGAGCAACGCCGCGUGAGUGAUGAAGGCUUUCGGGUCGUAAAACUCUGUUGUUAGGGAAGAACAAGUGCUAGUUGAAUAAGCUGGCACCUUGACGGUACCUAACCAGAAAGCCACGGCUAACUACGUGCCAGCCGCCGCGGUAA
rnacentral:rRNA from 1 species